GCUGCGCCUGGCGAGCGACUGAGUCGUCCGUGAGGAAAAAGAGGCGAGGCUUUUCCGAGAUCGUCUCAGCGAUGGCGCUUCGGUCGCGGUUUUGGGGGUUGUUCUCGGUUUGCAGGAACCCUGGUAAUUAGUCUUGCCCCCCUUCUCCCAGCUCACUCGCCAGGGCUUGCACAGUACAUUGGAACGUGCGGGUUCUAUUUUGUAUUCGACGUGCCGGAUCGAAAUAGAGCUCGCGGCACUGCGAAGACCACAGUAGGAAGUUAAGGACGGGGGUGCAGGUUCGCAGCCCUGUCAACCAGCUCCGAGCCGGCAGCGAAACCUGAAGUGGACCCUGUGGAAAAUGAAGCUGUCGCCCCAGAAUUCACCAACCGGAACCCCCGGAACCUGGAGCUUUUAUCUGUAGCCAGGAAAGAGCGGGGCUGGCGGACGGUGUUUCCCUCCCGUGAGUUCUGGCACAGGUUGCGAGUUAUAAGGACUCAGCAUCAUGUAGAAGCACUUGUGGAGCAUCAGAAUGGCAAGGUUGUGGUUUCGGCCUCCACUCGUGAGUGGGCUAUUAAAAAGCACCUUUAUAGUACCAGAAAUGUGGUGGCUUGUGAGAGUAUAGGACGAGUGCUGGCACAGAGAUGCUUAGAGGCGGGAAUCAACUUCAUGGUCUACCAACCAACCCCGUGGGAGGCAGCCUCAGACUCGAUGAAACGACUACAAAGUGCCAUGACAGAAGGUGGUGUGGUUCUACGGGAACCUCAGAGAAUCUAUGAAUAAAUGGAAGCAUUAAUUGUUUUGAACAUGUAAAUAUAAAUCUGUCAGCCACUACAGCCAUCAAAAGAGAGCAUCUGGAAGAACAGCCAGCUUGGAAGUUUUACAGCAAUAAUGUUGCAGUGGAAUAUUAUUUGUAGUUAAGGUCAUCCUCCUCCCCUUUCUGUUUUUUUAAAUCAAGAACUACGUUCUGCCCCUCUCUUGGGCUUCAGAAGCAUCUAAGAAAAGCAGUCAUCAAUUAUAAUUAACUUUCAAAGGGCAAGUCAGAAGUUGUUUAUAAAUUACAAAAUAAAGGCAUAUUAUGAACUCUUAUUUUCUG
rnacentral:sRNA from 1 species